AUUAAAGCGUAAUGAUGCGUACAUUUGUUGUUUCAUUUAAAUGCUAUUCCUAUAAGACAAGGCAAAUGGUCAAUGGCUCAAUUCUGUUUUUUAUUUCUAGGUUUGUGUGCCUCCUCUGGUCCUGAGGGAGUGCUUUGUCGUGCUAAACCCUAUCCGGUUUAGCACUGACAAGUUGGCUGCAAUGGAUCGCAUUGUUCCAUCCAACCUUGACGUCCCCAUGUAUGCUACCAUGGGGAAUCGCUCAAAGAAACGGAAGGUGGCACAUGGAACCACGGCUGUGGUCUCCAAAGGAAAGAAGGCCCGCCUUGAGGCACUUCAAACUCCAGCAAGGAUUGCCAAACCUUCGAAGCUGGUACCUCCCCCUCAACCUGUUCCAGAAGCUGCUGUGCCAG